CUUCAGCAUUACGUGGUGCUGGACGGGACGCUUUUCCUCCAGAUCAGAGCUCAUAACCUACAUGUCCGCUUCUUAUGUUAAAAGCAAAAACUGCCUGAAAGGGAUUCACCAAGGCCCUGGCAUGCUGUGUGACCUGCAAGGGCAAUGCCUGUCUACCACCUGAGCAUAUCGCAGGAUGACUGCCCAGGUUGCUGUUCGGAAGAUUAAGACAGCGAAGUGGAAACUGGACUUGUUGUACAGCUGGUUGUCCAACUGCAG